UCUGGGGCCAAUUUCUCGAACGGUAUUAGUUUAAUAUUAUUAGUGUGUUGCCAUGGUAACCCAUACGACUUGACAGUUCAUGGACUAAUAAUAUUAGUCUAAUACCGUUCGAGAAAUGGGGUACUGUCAAGUCGUAUGGGUUACCAUGGCAACACACUAAUAAUAUUAGACUAAUACCGGUCGAGAAAUGGGCCCUAAUUGUUGAACUAAUAAUAUUAGUCUAAUAUCCUUCGAGAAAUGGGCCCCAGUAUUUUGCAAUAAGAAUGGGGCCCGUACAGCGGUGUCAACGAAUUCGAGCCAACCGUGCAGUCUAACGCCACAACGCGAUUGGUUGAUGAGUUCGCAUCACGCGCGCGAUUGGUCGCAACUAGUUGCGUUAGACUGCACGAUUGGCUCGAAUACGUGUGACACCGCUUGACGUUUGUAAGCGAUUUGGUGCAACUGUUAUGCUUAUAAAUGUCUAUUAAAUAAACAAUUAACAACAAUUAAACCGCUGUACUAGCCCCAUUCUUAUUGCCCGUAAAGAUCGGGUUUCCUAGGAUAGUGGUGCCGUCAUAAAGCGGCCGUCUCCAUACUAAAUAAUACGUCGUAGUAUUUGUAUGGAGACGGCCGCUAUAUGACGACACUGUUAUCCUAUAGGAAACCAGAGCAUAAGGCUCGUCUUUAGAUAUACAUAUACAAUGUAUGUUGUAUGUCAAUGAGCAUUUCACAAGUUUUUUUUUGUAAGAUGUGACCAAAACUCGAAAACUAUUUGCGCACAUAAAAAAAAAGUUAAUACAGUUUUUAAGCUACAAGUAUAUUUCAUACAGUAGUAGAGUCUCAUACAAAAAUUGGCUUAUCUACUUAGACCGUUUGCUAGUGCUUAUUUGUGACGUUCAACGGCAAAACAAAAGGUACCUUAUGGCGGCAGACGCUUACGUCGCAUGGCGCCGCAAUAAUAUCGGAGCGGCGUUAAUAAUAGCGUAAGCGCCAACUGCCAUAAGGUACCUUUACCCGUGGGACGUCACAUUUAGAAAAACGGCAUCUCAUUCAUUUUAAAGUAAUUUUAAGGAUUACAUUAGUUUUGGAUUUGAGAAGAGAUUAUUUACAAUGUUUGUUUUACGCCAGAGUUUUCGAUAUAAGCAUUCGUCUCUUUUCUAAUAAGGAAGUGAGAACGAGAAAAAUAGAUUAUAUCGGUUUGAUAUGAUACUGUUAGUCCCAUUUUUGAAACUAUUUGAGACAUACGUAAUUAGUUAUUUAAGUCUAGGUUGGAAGAAUCAACUCACUCAAUUUAUACAUUUUUUUCCUCAAAUAAUUUCAAAAAACCUCACAUUUAUAAUUAUUUUCUUUGUAUUGUUGACAUUUUACUUCAUAGAACUUUCAGAAAAUCACGAUUUUCUUGUUACUAAAAUCGAUGACAUGGUUCCUAAGAAGAGAUCGUCGUAUGAUACGACGAUCGACGAGAAUCGACGAGAUUCGAUCGAUUCGUUGUAGUUUCAGAUUUUCCCAUACUGACCGAUCUAAAUGGGCCACCCUAUAUAUACAAAUACCGGGUGUGGCCUGUAAUACGAGCAAAAAAUUUUACUGUAGGCUGUACUCCUCAUACUGACCAACAUAUUUGUUCAGCGACUUUUAAAAAUAACUUGUGGAUUGAUUUUUAACACACUUUAAAGUUUAUUCUAAGACGCAAUGUAUUGCGAAUUUUGUUAUGUUUAAGGCGUGACAAGCAACGUCAAUCACAAUGAUAUGGCGUGGCGAUGGCGUCCAUUGAAGAUAAUAUUUAUUUUGUAUGAAAAAUAGGGAGUCAGACUUCAUACUUUUUAAAACUUGUUGAACAAAAGUGUCACCGUUUGAGGAGUAAAAUCUAUGUUUUAAUUAUUUGCUCGUGUUACAGGCCACACCCGGUAUAAUGCUUUGAACUAUUGACACAAUGUAUUGAACUGACAAUUCAAUAUUGAUAGUAGAUUUAGAAUUCAUUAUUUAAAUCUAAUUAAGCUAACUACUUAUUCUAAGCUGUUUAUAAAACCCCCGCCUAGUCCAAAUUUCAAUAAUUUAGAGUAUUUACAUUACUUUACAUUUUAUUGGAGAACAAUGAGUAUUUAAAAGAAAUUAUUUGUUAAUACUCAAAAUGUUUCAUUCAAACGAUACAAUUUUCCGAAUUUAAGAGUUUAAUUUUUGUAUUUUCUAGGCAUAAAGGUUCGUAAUCUAUAUAUAUUUUUAGGUAAAUCCUAAAACGAACCAAAUGUAAAAAAGGAAAUAAUAGGGUUUUACAAUAGUAAAAAUAUGGGUGUUCAAAUCAUACUCAAAAAUUUUAAAAUUUUCGCGUUUUGUAUACUUAUUAACUCACAUUUAUAGACGGGUCAGUAAAUAAGAGUAAUGAAUGAAUGAUUAAAUGAAAUGAAUGAAUAAAAUAAAUUCGCAAUAUACCCGUCUCUUUAUUUAAUUAUUAAAGUAAAUUGAAAGUAAUAAAUGUGAGUUAACACUCAAAAAUGUCCCAUAGCUCUUAUGACAGCGAAUUAAUAACUAUGGGACAUAUUUUGAGUAAGUUGUCUAUGUCGGCGGCAGAUCGUAAUGUUCCUGUGUAAUGUUUUGACGAUAGUCACAUUAAACCAAUAUACAGGGUUUCUGGGUCGUGAUCCAGAACCACUUUUUCUGACUCUGUAAAUGAUCCACAUUAUCACAUGGUAGUAUUUGAUUAAAACAUAAUUACUUUAAUUAUUCCUAUUUGUCAAGUAAAAUUAAUGUUAUACUAAGUAAUUAUGGUCACCCUAUGACUUUUGACAUACGCUGUAUGGAAAGCGACAAGACGUCACAUUGAGCAGGGUCACCAAAUUGUAUGCAAAAUUGUUUUUUCCUACUUGUCAUCUGCCGUCGACUCAGAGAACGGGUCAAAGAUAUUCACGUUUCACGAUAUGCCUAGGAAUUUCACGAUAUGCCUGAUCUUACGAUCGGCCGCCGACAUCUACACCCGGAAUUUUACACUUCACUGUACCAAUAGUCCAACAACUUAAACUAAUCCAAUAUCGAAAAAUAAUAAUAAUAUAUCCACUUAAUUUGAUUUUGAAAGUAUUUAGAUAUUUUAAAGCGAGAUUUUUUAAUAUCGCCAGCAUAAAAGGGCCUCUCAAUAAAUGAACGUACCUAAAUACUUAAGCAACAAUGCAGAUGGCCGAAGAUCGAGAGGCCUGGAGAGCAGUGGUAGGAAGAAUAACCCAUAGGAGUCACGUUCCUCAGACAUGAGGUCACGACCACGAAGAAGAAGAAAUACUUACUUAAGAAAAUAGCUUGCAAAGUUUUUUGCUUUAAAAAUAACCCUCAACCCCACUUUUCUAUCAAAAAAACAAAAGCAGACCUAUCUUGAUCUAACUCUAACCGCCUGAGAUAAGUGAUAGACGAAUACCUACCCUCAUGCUAUCAAAUAAGGUUCAUAUUAGCUUGCUUGCGGCAAUGAUGUUGGCACAUGUGUGCACAUUAUGUGCAUGUUUAGGGUUUAUAUUAGCUUGCUUGUGUGUUUUAUAUGUGUGUGUGGAUUUGACAAAUGACCUCACACCAAUAUCGACGCUUAUCAUGAAUAGUGGCAUAAAACAAAAUGAAAUGCCGUUCGAUUUUAAAUCUUACCAGUAAAACAUAGAAUAUUAAAUGCAAUAGCAUUUCAUUUUGAGUUGUGCCACUACUAUUCAUGAUAAGCGUCGAUAUAUCAAUUCAUUACAAUUACCAAGGUUUUGUGAAAAGGUUAGGUUUAGUAGAUAGGGUUGUGGGUUAUUUUUAAACAAAAAAAAAAACAGUUCAGUAUUCAAAAUUAUAUUCUAAAAAAAUAAGCACCUGCGUUUGCGAGGAAAACUUAAAUCUAAUUAAAAUUACGCAAUAAAAUAUUUAAUAAUGUAAAACAAUUUCAUUUCUUCGUGUUAUGUACAAUCAAUAUCUCAUUUUAGAACAAACAAAAAAAUAUAUAACUGAUAUAUCAUGCAAAAUACAGAAAUCAAUUCUUCAUUGGAGUAAAAAAGCUAUAAAAGUGAAUUACAAAAAAAAAAUACAUAGUUAAGCACCUGUAUUUAGUCUAAAGUUAAUUGAUUCCAUUGUGUUACCACAGUUAAGCCGUUUCUAUUCAAGUUAGAUGCAUGAAAGUGUUUUAGCGUAUGCUAUAGACUUAUAUGUGUACGAAUUAAGUACAAUAAAUACAAUACAAUUUACAUAGUUAAUUUUCGUAACACAAAUGAAUCAAUUUAAGACUAAUCACAGCUUCUUAACUGCGCUUAAUUACGUACAAUUUUUUUGCUAUUCACUCAUACAAUAUUGUAUAGGCAGAAACAAACGGUUCUUUAUCUUCCAUACAAAUGAAUGAUAAUUGAUAAGAAAUAUAUUUUUUCAGACAUUUUUCCCUAUUUUCUAUGUCAAUAACAUGUUGGUAGUUACCCUCAGAUAGUAAACUUUUCCUUUUGCGUCUUACAAAGUGAAGUAGAGAUGCGUAAAACGCUUCACUGAGUUGAAAAGAUUGAUUCUUAUCUUUCGCGGUGAUAUACACGGUGUAACAUGAGGAAACCGAAUAAUUUUAACCACGCAUUUCUGCGGUCAAAAGAAGGAAAAAAUUUAAUAUGAGUUUAGGUCAAUUUCGAAAAAAAAAAAUUUUUUUUCGUUUUGUUUUUCCAUUUUUUUAAUGUAUUAGUGCUUAAAAAAUAAAUGUUAUUCGUAAACUUGUCACUUGAAAUAGAUUUUUAAUUUUUUUUUCGUAGAACAUAGUUUUUGCAAAGUGAUACUUGUCACUUUUUGACAUCUAUCACUAAGGAUAUUUAGACUACGUCCCAUAGCAGCAACAUCGCCAUCAAAAAGGCGUUUUGCACUAUGUAACAAUAAAAACAUGUUUUAUUUUUAAAAAUUGGUAUUAACUUUGAAACUAGGCGAAAUUCAAAAAAGUUUAUAGGACAUUUUUGUCUCUAAAUAUGAUCAGGAAUACGCUGUUGAAAUUAUUCGGUUUCGUCAUGUUACACCGCACCGUGUAUAAUAUCACUCAAUUCGCUCAGUGGAUCUGUGUAGACAAUAUUGUUCACGAGUGAGUUGCAUUCAUUUGUGAUUGCAUCUGUCAGUUGUGUUCAAAAUAAUUUGUAAAUCUAAUAUUGUCCUCGGUUACCGCGAGUUACUCAUGAAAUAAAACUAUUGAAAUAUCAAAUGUAGGAUGAAUUCAAUAUACGCAAUAUAAUCCGUUUCAAUAGUUUUAUUUCAAUUUGUAAAUCUCUUUAUACUGUUCCGUAUCCGCUCGACUCGCCAAACCAUAAUAAUAUAUCUAAUAAUUUAUUAGUUCUAUGAUAAGACAUCGAUUGUACAUAACAUAAUCUUUUAAUCCCGAGUUUAGUACAGCGCCCUUACAACACGUCAGUAACGUACUGUGAUUAUUUUAAAGGAUUAUUUGACGUCAAUUUAGAUAUUAUAAAUAUUAUAGGACAUUUUUUUUUACACAAGUUGACUAAGCCCCACGGUAAGCUCAAGAAGGCUUGUGUUGUGGGUACUCAGACAACGAUAUAUAUCAUAUAUAAAUACUUAAAUACAUAGAAAAAAACCAUGACUCAGGAACAAAUAUCUGUAUCAUAAUAAAUGCCCUUACCAGGAUUCGAACCCGGGACCAUCGGCUUCAUAGGCAGGGUCACUACCCACUAGGCCAGAUCGGUCGUCAAAUUAUGCGUAUUGACUUCAUAUUCUAGUCAUCUUUUUAGGGUUCUGUACCCGAAGGGUAAAACUGGACCCUAAUACUUAUACUCCACUGUCAAUCUGUCUAUCUGUCACUAGGGUGUAUCUCAUGAACCGUGAUAGCUAGACAGUUGAAAUUUUCACAUGUGAUGUAUUUCCGUUGCCGCCAUAACGACCAAAACUAAAAAGUACGAAACCCUCGUUGGGCGAGUCCGACUCGCACUUGUCCGUUUUUUUAUUAGAGGACAUAGAAAUGUCACUCGUUAUCGGUAAUAUAGCUAGGUGCCGUUUACGCAACACGCUUAAUCAUCUAGUCUAGUUCAUACGAAGCCAUAUGGCGGUAUCCAGACGGGAUGAUCAAAUCGACCGAUUUGAUCAGAAAUGAAAUUGGCGUCAAUCUCCAAUUUAAUCACCAAUUUUAGAUUUAUGGUGAUAUUAGAACCCUCUAAAU